rnacentral:rRNA from 1 species
AUGAGCUCGGUUGACUUCUCUUUCGUGGAUGAUUCAUUGUCGGACGAGGAAUUUGAUUUGCAUGAAGAAGAGGAGAUUGCUAUGCUAGUGGCCAUGCACAAGAGGAAGAAACCAACGCAUGGUGGUUCCGUUUACGGUCUUGCGUUCAUUCGGAGAGAAUGGAUUGAUGCGCACAAACGGUUGGUGUGCAACUACUUUGCAUCAUUACCUGUUUUUUCGGAGAAUUACUUUGAACGCCGUUUCAGAAUGUCGAAAGACUUGUUCUUCCGCAUUUGCAAUUCCGUGAAGCUGCUGGCCGGUUUUGGACCAUGA